GACGGAGGAUGCAAGUGUUAUCCGGAAUCACUGGGCGUAAAGCGUCUGUAGGUGGUUUAAUAAGUCAACUGUUGAAAUCUUGAGGCUACAACCUCAAAAUCGCAGUCGAAACUAUUAGGCUAGAGUAUAGUAGGGGUAAAGGGAAUUUCCAGUGGAGCGGUGAAAUACGUAGAGAUUGGAAAGAACACCGAUGGCGAAGGCACUUUACUGGGCUAUUACUAACACUCAGAGACGAAAGCUAGGGUA
rnacentral:rRNA from 1 species